rnacentral:rRNA from 1 species
UACGUAGGGUGCGAGCGUUAAUCGGAAUACUGGGCGUAAAGCGUGCGCAGGCGGUUUUGUAAGUCUGUCGUGAAAUCCCCGGGCUCAACCUGGGAAUUGCGAUGGAGACUGCAAGGCUAGAAUCUGGCAGAGGGGGGUAGAAUUCCACGUGUAGCAGUGAAAUGCGUAGAGAUGUGGAGGAAUACCGAUGGCGAAGGCAGCCCCCUGGGCCAAUACUGACGCUCAUGCACGAAAGCGUGGGGAGCAAACAGG